AUGAUGGGUAGAUUUCGCCCUGCCAUCAAUGACCUCGAAUUGAAGGAGAUAUACCUCAACGGACGCUGCUUCACUUGGUCGAACGAGCAAUCGCCGCCUACGCUGGUGCACCUCGACCGCGUUCUCUGCACAUCCGAUUGGGAAGACGCACACGGCGAGUGCCAUCUUUGUUGCCUUGCUUCGGUCGUGUCAGACCACUGUUCGCUGCUGUUGGACUGCUCCCCCAUGCCGACGGCCCACAAGCGCUUCCACUUCGACGAUUAUUGGUUGCGACUGGACGACUUCCAUGACAUCGUCGCUGUGGCUUGGGGCUCGGUGCACGACCACGAUCCCUUUCAACAGCUGGUCAAACGCCUUCAAGCCAUGGCCCACCGCCUCACGGGUUGCUGCGCCAAGUCCACGGGCAACAUUCGGGACAAGCUUGCCAUCUCCCGCGAGCUGAUCUCCCACUUCGACAAGACCCUUGAGGAUCGUGUGCUCUCGCCCCCGGAGGAUUGGUUGCAAAAGCAGCUCAAGCUCGCCUACCUUGGCAUGGCAUCCAUGGAG
rnacentral:rRNA from 1 species